CUUGAGCAGGUAAUACGUGAAGCGCUACCUUACCUGAAAUUCAAGGGCACAGAUCAAAAGAUGCGGCAUGAGGAAUGCACCUGAUGUGCAGAAAUACUAAAUUGGGUUUGCGUAGUCAAAUCAUUUAAGACCAUCAUCCAAUCUGUCUUCUUUUUCUUUCUUUCUUUCUUUUUUUGAAUUGGUGAUCAUCCAAUCUUUUAAUCUGGCAGCUUUAAUAAAUGACCAUCCUUGUGCAUAUGGUGGGCUGUUAUCUAGCAUCUACCAUGGAAAUCUACUUUACAGCCAUACUAGCAAUUUAUAGCCCUAAAUAUCCCCAGUUGACAAUGUUAUAGCCCUAAAUAUCCCCAGUUGACAGUUGCUGCAUUGUGCUGGCUCUUCUACAUUAAGCUAUUCUAUUCUGUUACAGUCUAUAUAUAAUAUCCCCUGCGGUGAAGUAUGUUCAAGUAGAGCCGUGGAGUUCUUGCCGUGUGUGGCAUUUCUGCUUAAAUUGCACAAUCAGAUGGCUGGGGUGACUCAUUCUUUGGGUAAUGGUGAAAAUAUCAAGCAAACAAUAUGAUUGAUAGGAGUAUUGUUUAAAGGUGAAUGUGAUAUGUUUUCGUUCUUGGACGUUAGAAUUGAUGCGUGGUAACCAACUUCUUAAACUUAGAAAAUGUUGGAUAUAGUUGUUAUGGGGAAUCGAAAAGAAAAAAAAGAUAUGGCAGUAUUUGUGUUGGUAUAAAAUAUCAUUAGUUUGGAAAACACAAUAGAUUUUUUACCGUAACAACGCGCGGGCAUUUUGCUAGUACUUAUUAAAGCAACUAAGCUAAUUUUUUUCAUCCGUCAUGGUCAUUUUGCAAAAAAGUCCCUCAAAUUUUUAGUAAUCAACCCAUAGUCCAUAUUCUAAAGAGGGGAGGCUCGAGUGGAAAAAGGAGAGAAAGGAAGGGGUUAAAGGGGAAAAAGCUUCUCCUUUCCUCCGUCUCUCUCCCUCCCGUCCGCCGCCUGCGCUCCCUCAUCCGCGCCCCCGAACCCUGCCCCGAGCCUCAACGGAGAGGCCAGCCGAUCCCCUCUCCUCCCCGUGCCGCACCUUCCUCCUACCCUGGGCGUGUCGCCUCUGCUACCGCCGCCGCCCCCCAUGCCCCUACCCAGGCGGAGAAGGGAGAAUGUGAAGGGAGGUCAUCUCCCUUCCUCACCUCGACGAAUGAGGCGCUGGAGGCGGGGUGCUGGCGGGAGGCGAGGCAGGGGCGGCGUCGAGCAGCAGCGGGCAGCGAUUGGAGGGAGGGAGUCCCCUGGCAGUGCGGCCGGUGCCCGGAGCCGGCGGGGGCGAGCUCCCCAGGCCGGCAGGGGUGAUGUCCCGAGCGGUGCAGUUGGGACCUGCGGCCAGCGGGAGCGUGGUCCCCGGAUGGUGUACCCCGCCACUGGAGGUGGCGGCCUGCUUGGCGGCCAUAGCGCUUGGAGCACGGGGCGGGUGGGGCCAGCGGCAAUGCGGCCGCGCAGCGCCUCAACCACAUACGCACUCUCGCCGCCCACGGCCGUAGCAGCCUCUGCAGCUCUCCCUUCUGUCCGUGCAUGUGGCCGCUGCUCCCUCCGACGAGCUGUCUCUACUGCACACAAGUUGUUUGUAGAAAUGCCUAAUAACAAGAACGGAAGCAAGAGCCUGUAAUAUUGUAUUGGCGGCUACAACGCCUGGAGCACGGGGCGGGCGGGGCCAGCGGCAACGCGGCCGCGCAGCGUCUCAACCACAGACGCGUUCUGGCCGCCGACGGCCGUAGCAGCCUCCGCAGCUCUCCCUUCUGUCCGUGCAUAUGGCCGUUGCUCCCUCUGACAAGCUUGUCUCUACUGCACACAAGUUGUCUGUAGAAAUGCCUAAUAACAAGAACGGAAGCAAGAGCCUGUAAUAUUGUACAUGAUUAUGCCCCCGCGCAGUGUUGAUUCUCUGAAUGUCAAUUGUCACAAGAUAUUAAGAGCAUGGAAAUCGUACAACCAAGGAAGCUCGGCUGCUCAUGGUUAAUCCUUAGUCCCUUAUAUACUA